rnacentral:ncRNA from 1 species
CGCCCACUUGGGCGUCUACCCCGGUACCUGAUACGGCCGGAGAGA